rnacentral:rRNA from 1 species
UACGAAGAGGGCUAGCGUUGCUCGGAAUCACUGGGCGUAAAGGGUGCGUAGGCGGUUCUUUAAGGCAGGGGUGAAAUCCUGGAGCUCAACUCCAGAACUGCCUUUGAUACUGAAGAUCUUGAGUUCGGGAGAGGUGAGUGGAACUGCGAGUGUAGAGGUGAAAUUCGUAGAUAUUCGCAAGAACACCAGUGGCGAAGGCGGCUCACUGGCCCGAUACUGACGCUGAGGCACGAAAGCGUGGGGAGCAAACAGG